GCUAUUUUUUUGACCCAAGAUGUAAAUUAAUCUGGGGGCCAAAUCACUCGCUGUCUGGUCUAUAGAGCUUUGAUCUUUUCCCCUAUCAGAGGAGUAUCUUAAAAUUGCAAGCUCUGUUAAAGUAAAUACUAAAAUGUAGGCUUACUUUUAGAUGUUCCUUGCUGGGCAGGGAGCAAUUGUAACCCGUAUGUUGCCCAAAUGAGGGUAGUUCUAUGGAUUUGCAUUUAUUUCUGAGUAUGCCACUGUGUGUCAGGCUUCAGCUUUGCUACAUGUUUCCCAGAAAACAGCUACUGACUGGUACUGCAACCCCAGUAGAGAGCUGGUGAACGAAGGGAGAAUGUUGGAAGAAAGAAGUAUGUUGGUGCCCUGGAUCUGCAACAGCAGAUCUUUCUGAAUAGCAGCUGCAACAGAUUUCUUCUGGUUGGAACAUUUCAAGAUCGUCAGGUUAAAACGCAUUGUGAAAAUGUCAAUCAAAACCUGAGUGCCAGGGACUGCUGCUCCCAGGGGCCCUGCCUGAGAAGGGCUGACCGAACUCCCCCUUGCUGCCGAGCUUCGUGGGUGCAGGGCCCCGCUCGCAGCCACACACCAUGGUGCAAACACCAGGCAAGGCUGGGCAGGAGGAAACUCGGUGUCAGCAGCCUCUUUUCAUCUGUGUGCAACGAAACCCCUCGGCCAAGGCCGUCCCUAAUGGCCGCCGCACACAAACAAUGUCCUGAUUGUGCCUCACCACUUGGACUCUCCUACAAACACAGUCUCUGUGUCGGUAUUAAUUAAAAACAAAGCCUGCUUGCAAUGCCCAGUUUGUGAACCCGUUCCGGCAGCCACACUGAAGCAAUCCUUGUGGGACCUGGGUUGCUUUAAGCUAAAGAAAAGGGGCCACUGGAUCGGCUUUCCCUGAUGAAACCUGGCGCCUGAAGGUUUGGUAUCACACCCCAACCUGCCUGCACAAACCUCCCUGGUGCUGCCGUUCUGCCGACGUCUGCGAAGGCCGGGCCAGUCUUUUGCAAGCCUGUUUGUUUGCUGUGGAAGAACUUCAGCUUUAUUAUCUGUGCGAUGACAGACUCCAGGGCCGCUGCUAUUGUUUUAUUUGAAUUGCAGAGAGCUUAAAUCGCCCCAGUCCUGGCCCCUAAUGCCACCGUGUCUGGGGCUAUACAAAUACAGAAAACCCAGGUGGGUCUUGUUCUUCCUAAACCUCCUGCUGAGCUCCCUGGGAGUGCUGCUGGUUAAGCAAAGUAGGUCAGCGUUCCCGACACACAGACGUACGCGCACAUCAGACAGGAGAGAUGCAAACUGGAAUAUUAAACCGCCAAGUGGCUGUUAAAAACUAUGCACAAGGGCAAUUAAAAUAUUAGCAUCCUUUCAUGUAAGCAAAGCAGACAGAAGUGGCAAUUAGUUUCAGUUACAACUUUGGAGUCCUGGAGGAGUGUCCCUGGAGGCAUUUUCUUUCUGGCCACCUGACAGUUGCAGCCAUCGAUUUGACAACCAACCUGGGGGGUAUGGAUGUGCCUGCACAGGCACCCACCUCCACGCAGGUGGGAGCACAAGGCCCAGCACCAUGUGUGACAGGACACGUGCAUACUCACGGUCAGGCUGCUUCCCCACCUCUCAGCACUGGCCUGUGACACACAAACACAGCAAGUGCUGCCCCAGCCCGUCACUUCUCUUCGGAAAUGAAGUAGACAACUUUAUUGUAAGGAAAGUCGCCGAGCCCUUGCUGCCACCCACUGCAAACCUCCCUCGAUACUUAAAUGUUGUGCUGAUGAUUAAUAAAAGUAACUCUGUAUGGGUGAGUCAUGGGGGCGGUUUCUUUCAUUCAUUCUUUCAUUCAUUCAUUCUUUCAUUCAGGUUGUGACUGCAACCAAAAUAAAGGUGCCCUGCCAAUCCCCAGUCCCAGGCACUAUCCGGCCCCCUCGCCUGGGGAAGAGCCAUCCAACACUGGGGGAAAUAAACACCGGUAGUUCACUGAGUUCACUUUAAUCAGGUUAGCGUUUGCCAAGCCGAUUACUGCAAAACCAUUUAAAACCCUAAUCGCAGCUCAGAAGACACUGAGCUCUUGUGUAUCAAGGAGAGCUGGUGGGGGCCGAGUUUGGGUUUUAAAUGGAAUUAAAAAAAAAAAAAAAAAGAUACAAGAAAAAGGUUACCAAAAUGUUUAGCCUUUGUUUUAUUGAGUUACAACAAAUAAGCAACAAGUUAGAAAAGUUGGAUUUAUUCAAACUCCCUAGCAUCCUAUUUGUGCAGCGUACUGAAAGGUGGGUAAGUUUUCCAAACCCAGCUUGUCAGAGGAAUGCACUGGAUGGCUCCUGCACCCGCUCACCUGCACACCCACGCUCCCGCUCUCCCUCCUCCUCCUCACACAUGCACAGACAGACACCCCACACAAAUCCAAAGUAGCAGUAUUUGAAAAAAAGUGCACCUGGGAACCUAGGAUUGAUCUAAAAAUUUAGUGGCAAGGGUUAAUCAGAAGUUUCUGUUGUGCGCUACAACAUCUAAAGCUGGAGGCCACGCUGUUGCUUAUGAUGUCCAUCAUUGUACCAGCCAAAGAAACAGUAACAAGUUUGGACUGUGAAGCAUCUUGGUUUUCUUGCUCCAACCCCUCUGGGGUUGUACUGCAUGUUUAAACAAAAAGUGCUAAAAAAAGAAAAAAACCAAAAAAGGCAUUCUAUCCAGAUCUUCAGAGACCCACUUCUGGGGCUGGCUUGUGAAAAGUAAAGUACAGGAGCUGGAGAAGACUUGCCUUGUAGGAGCACAGAAAAGCAGAGAUUUAAAUACUUCAACCAGUAGCAGGUGGCCUUAAAACAAAAAAGUCAAAACAGUAAGAAAAAAACCAAAGCCCAACCACUCCAGAAUGACCCUCCCCAACCCCAUAAGGCGUUUAAGUGGGCUGAAAUGUAAACUAGGGUGGGGAUCUGGGCUCAGAUGUUGAUCCGCACCAACAAGAC